ACGACUAUAUAACGUUUCAACACCCGUUUCCGUAUGAUCACCGAAGUUAAGCAACGCCAAGACUGGCCAGUACCUAGAUGGCUUACCGCUUGGGAAUACCAGGUGCUGUAAG